GACGAACGCUGGCGGCGUGCCUAAUACAUGCAAGUUGAGCGCUUAAGGUUGGUACUUGUACCAACUGGAUGAGCAGCGAACGGGUGAGUAACGCGUGGGGAAUCUGCCUUUGAGCGGGGGACAACAUUUGGAAACGAAUUCUAAUACCGCAUAAAAACUUUAAACACAAGUUUUAAGUUUGAAAGAUGCAAUUGCAUCACUCAAAGAUGAUCCCGCGUUGUAUUAGCUAGUUGGUGAGGUAAAGGCUCACCAAGGCGAUGAUACAUAGCCGACCUGGUAGGGUGAUCGGCAAAAUUGGGACUGAGAAAAGGCCCAAAAUGAUAAGGGAGGCAGCAGUAGGGAAACUUAGGAAAUGGACGAAAGUCUGAACGAGAAAAGCCGCGUGAGUGAAGAAGGUUUUCGGAUCGUAAAAAUCUGUUGGUAGAGAAGAAAGUUGGGGAGAGUGGAAAGCUCAUAAAGUGACGGUAACUAACCAGAAAGGGACGGCUAACUACGUG
rnacentral:rRNA from 1 species